UACAGAGGUCUCAAGCGUUUGUUCGGAUUCAUUGGGCGUAAAGGGUGCGUAGGCGGCGCGGUAAGUCGGGUGUGAAAUCUUGGAACUUAACUCCGAAACUGCAUUCGAUACUGCCGUGCUUGAGGACUGGAGAGGAGACUGGAAUUUACGGUGUAGCGGUGAAAUGCGUAGAUAUCGUAAGGAAGACCAGUGGCGAAGGCGGGUCUCUGGACAGUUCCUGACGCUGAGGCACGAAGGCCAGGGGGAGCAAAACGGGG
rnacentral:rRNA from 1 species